UUAUUUCCUUUCUCUUCUCGCAGCUUGCAGGAGCCUUCAAGCAUGGAAUGUAUUUUCUCAGGCUUGUUGUAUGAGAGUAAGCCUUACAAGACACUUGGAAGCACAUAACCUGUAGCUGCUUCUUCUCUCCUAUAUCAUUAGGACUGAAGGCUCUCCCUGAUCUUACUCUCUGUCAGAAAGUUAGCACCCUUAAAACCAACAUUCAAACUAAGAGUUGAACUGUGGUAUCUUGAAUGCUAAAAACUGAAUGUGAAUGCUUCAAUGGAAUUGUUCUAUUUCACGAUAAGAGGAAUUAUUCUCGUGGUUUGAAGAUGUAAUAAUGAAUUCUGAAAUGCAACAAGACAAAAAUGAGAUACAAUGAAAGCUUAACUUGGUUGUUCAUGCAAAAUAUCUACCAUGAGAGGCAUGGCAUUUCAGCACUUACACUUCUGAUCCUAGCUGGUUGACCCCAAGCCACCUGCAGGGUAAAAGGAAGGGAAUGAUGAAGAGAAAUGUUGCAGCUGCUGGAGGAAAAAGCUAGCUCCUGCCAACAACAUAGGCCAGUAUCAGUCAGAACAUUCCAGAUGUGGGCACCGUGAUCCAGAGUUGAUGACCACAAAAAGGGCAGAGGCCUACCCUGUGUUGUAUGAGAUAAAGCCUGUAGAAGUGGGAGCAGGGAGCUUCUCCUUCCAUGCUCUGCACAUCCAUGUGGGCGUGGGGCAGGAUAUAUCCCUAAUACUGUGACCUCUAGAAGAAGAAUCCAGCUAAUAUGCCUGUAACCUCACCACUGCCUCAAGAGAGGCAAUCAAUCUCAUUUGAGGCAUGGACUAGCUCCUGGUCUCCAGCUUCCUGUAAGCAUGCUGCAGUCAGUAGUAGCAGUGGAGGGUGGCACUAGGUAAGUCUAUUUCCCUCAGGUGUUCCUUGACUCAUCCUAGUCUGCAUCACUCAAUUUGCUACAGGUCUACUCACCCCACCACCCAGUAUUGUACAGUUGGCAAAUCAGAGCAGACUUUUGUUCAAAAGCUUGUCUUUGGAACUCACAACACUCAUAUUGGGAAAUCAAAUCAUGACAUUAUAAUACCUGAAGGAGGUGAAGCCCAAAACACAGACUGGAUCCUCACGUGAUCUAAAUAUUUUUUAGACACACAAAUCUACACCACCUGAGGCAUUGGCUGAUUGUGUUUUUAUCCUUUGGAUUUAUCUAUUUGACUGACUGGUGGUUCUGUCUGUCUAUUGAUUUUUUUUUUUUUUUUUAAGGCCAGACACUACCAUUAUGAUCUAAUCUGAGCACCUGUAUAACACAGGCCAAGGAAUUUUACCAAGUGAUUCCGGCAUCAAGUCAAUAACUUCUGGGUGAACUAGAACACGUCUUUUAGAAGGACAUCCAGUCUCAAUGUAUCUGUGUAAUUCAUAAUGCAUGGUGAUAAUAAUAAAAGAGCAAAUCAUAUUUCAGGAGCUAGAUUCAUUGUAUUUUAAUACAUUUGACCCUAAAUAGCAAAGUAUAAAAAUCAACAGAAUUCUUAAAUGUGCACUGUAGUAAAUUGUUUGCAUAGCACUACAGGAGUGACUAUAAAAGAAAGCAGGAAAGAGUAUAAAACCAUAUAUUUUAAUAGUUGGAAGUUCUUUGUCCAGGCUCACUCCUACAUUAAGAGAAUAUUUCUGAUUGUCCUUUGAAAUGUGUAUAAUUUCAGAUAAACCAUCUUGCUACAAAACUAGAACAUAAUCCCCAGAAAUAUUAGCACAGGCAUUUACACUGUACCACAGCAUUGCUUAGUCUGCUCCAGCUGAAUUAUAUUAUAAAUCAGCUAUCACAAAAAUCUCUGGGGAGCUUCUGGUCAAACAUAUCAGCAUGACAGAGAGAACUGCUUUUUCUUGGUUUUAUGUUGUAAAUGUGACAAUCUUUCACAAAAACUGCAUUGAAGAAGAUAAAAUUAAUCACAAAACAAUCUCUACCUGCAACACAAAAAUACCACUGACCCUGCAAUGACAAGAAAUGCUCAUUAUGGGCCUAAUUCUGAGAAGUUCCGAGUGCCCAUAGAAGUCGAAUUUCCGCCGGUCUUUCACUCUGUCUAUUCCUUUUUGGUGGCACUUUGGCGGCAGCUCAAUCAGGUUUUUCUUUUUUUUUUGUUCUUCGCCGCUUGGGGCGGCAAAAAAGCUGGAGCCAGCCCCGCGUCUCAUAAUGCACUUCACCAUUUGUGCAUUGUUACUCAAGGUAUUGGGGAGGAAGAAGCAAAUUUUCUGUUUCCUUCCUGAUACCCAUUAGAUACUGGCUGUACAGUCUGAAGCAAGAAGAGAUUUUUUUCUCUUAUAUUAAUGUCUUAUGGCUGAUUCGCCACUCUUACUCACAUUGUGUAAUACCUUACUCCAUGAGUAGUCCCAUUGAAAUCACAGGUACUCCUUACGAAAUAAGGUAAUACUGAGGAUGACGAAUAGAAUUGGUCAUUUUUUCUUUUUUUUUUGCAUAGAGUAUUUUUCCAAUCCAAAAACUAAAUUUAAUUGAAACCAACGUUUUUUCACAGGUAAAUUGCAAUUCCGGUUAAAAGUUUUGAUUUGAUUUAGGAAAUUUCAAAUAACUUUUUCCUAUUUUGUUUUAUUUUGACUUAAAGAUUGUUUCAUUUUGUUUUUUAGAAACUUUAAAAUUUGUUUUCAAUUUUCACUUUUUGGAUUUUAGUGCUCCACCCCUUCCUUGUUUUUUACAUCCUCCCUUUUUCUGAAAUGCAACGUCUGGAAAAUAGUAAGAAAGUGUGAGAAGGUAGGGAAAAUCUGGAACUGAAAGUUGAAAGCUUGUCCUUUAUUAGACUUGGACUGUAGUACACAAGUAUAAGGUUAGUUAUCAUAGACAUGUUUUGACCUGUAAAGCUUUCUGGUAGUUGCCAUUAAAAAGUCAGCAGUUAACAAGAUAGCAUCUGAAAUAUUCCACUUUGCCCUUAUUCUUAAAAUAGAAAUAACAGCAUGUGGCAAUUAUGGAUAAAUAAUAAUUUUAUAAUGGUGACCACUGGUUUUAUGGACCAAAAUCAUCAUCUUGAACUGAACCUGGAAACACAUGGGUAGCCAUUACAGUCUAAGAACAGGUAUAAUAAACUUGAUACAAGAAAAACAUUACUUACUCACUCUGUGGUAGCUUAAGACUCCAAGUACUUUUUGUGGUAUGCAUUACAAUGAUUUUAGAAGGCAAAGUCUAUAUCUUAGAGGAAAGCACAAAUGUCUAGCCAGGCAUGGAUGUAAAAGAACCCACUCUGGACUACCGAUGCUACCCAAGAAUCUGGGAACAGCCAAUGACUCAGAAAGACCCCCGUGUUGUGAACCUCAAUAAUAAUACUAGGUGGACAUGCAUCUCCCUUAUAAAGAACAAACAUUAUUCUAAUCUUCUCUAGAUGUUUCAGCUUACUCUAGUUUUUCCAGAAAAAGGAAUGACAAAAUACAAAUUCACAUCCCAGUUCCUCACCCCAGUUUAAAAUUCACAAGAAUGGAUGGUUUGCCUUUCAAAAGACCCAACUGUUUUGUGCUUCCUUCAAGUGGAAUUUUUAUCAGCAUGGUAAUUUUUCAAGAUUUCUUGAUUACAGGGUGUGUUUUAUGGCUGUUUUAUGUAACAAAACUGAUCUGAUGACAGAACUUUGCUAGUGAAUAAAAGAAGUUAAUAUUAACCAAUGCAACAGAUGAUGAUUUCUUAUCCAGUUGCAUGCAUGAUACCUUUUUAUUAACAUCUUGCCAUACAUGGCACAUUGCAAUUUGCCUUAUACAUAAUAUUUAUUAUUAAAUGUAUAAUUGAAAAAUGUAAGAUGUCAUGAAGAAAGCUAUUAUGUAAAAGCGUACUAAAAUCUAGAGAAAUCUUUGUGGACAUAAGUUAUCUCUAUGUCAGCCUUUAUGGAUAAGUUUUCUGUAUCUCAUUAUUGAUGAAGGUGCGAUUUUUCUAGAGAA